rnacentral:rRNA from 1 species
GAUGAACGCUAGCGGCAGGCCUAACACAUGCAAGUCGAGGGAGAGGUUAUCUUCGGGUAACCAAAACCGGCGCACGGGUGCGUAACGCGUAUACAAUCUGCCUUUCACAUAGGGAUAGCCCGAAGAAAUUUGGAUUAAUACCUAAUGGUAUAUAAGAGCGGCAUCGUUUUUAUAUUAAAGCUACGGUGGUGAAAGAUGAGUAUGCGUUCUAUUAGCUAGUUGGAGAGGUAACGGCUCCCCAAGGCGACGAUAGAUAGGGGUUCUGAGAGGGAUGUCCCCCACACUGGUACUGAGAUACGGACCAGACUCCUACGGGAGGCAGCAGUGAGGAAUAUUGGACAAUGGUCGGAAGACUGAUCCAGCCAUGCCGCGUGCAGGAUGAAGGUCCUAUGGAUUGUAAACUGCUUUUGUAAGGAAAGAAUAAGGAGUACGUGUACUUUUGAUGACGGUACUUUACGAAUAAGCAUCGGCUAACUCCGUGCCAGCAGCCGCGGUAAUACGGAGGAUGCGAGCGUUAUCCGGAAUCAUUGGGUUUAAAGGGUCCGUAGGCGGGCUGAUAAGUCAGAGGUGAAAGCGCUUAGCUCAACUAAGCAACUGCCUUUGAAACUGUCAGUCUUGAAUGAUUGUGGAGUAGUGGAAUGGAUAGUGUAUCAAUAAAAUGCCUCGGAUAUUACCCGGAAGACGAUAGCAUAGUCCUUUUAUUACAUUUAUGGACGCGGAUGGACGAGAGCGUGGAGACAAAAGAAAUAGAUAACCUGGAGUCCAAGGGGAAUUCUACAGUGAGUUGAGGCGGACGGUGCCCGGCGCCACGACUGUGUUAGUAGUGAGUGGGUCAUCGUA